rnacentral:rRNA from 1 species
AUUGAACGCUGGCGGCAGGCCUAACACAUGCAAGUCGAGCGGUAGAGAGGUGCUUGCAUCUCUUGAGAGCGGCGGACGGGUGAGUAAUGCCUAGGAAUCUGCCUGGUGGUGGGGGAUAACGUUCGGAAACGGACGCUAAUACCGCAUACGUCCUACGGGAGAAAGCGGGGGAUCUUCGGAUCUCGCGCCAUUAGAUGAGCCUAGGUCGGAUUAGCUAGUUGGUGAGGUAAUGGCUCACCAAGGCGACGAUCCGUAACUGGUCUGAGAGGAUGAUCAGUCACACUGGAACUGAGACACGGUCCAGACUCCUACGGGAGGCAGCAGUGGGGAAUAUUGGACAAUGGGCGAAAGCCUGAUCCAGCCAUGCCGCGUGUGUGAAGAAGGCCUUC